UAGAUUCUUCCGCGCAUAUUGUUAUGUGGUUUAAUUUUCUACAAAUAAAAAAUUGAACAAAUCAAUUUUAUAUAAUCAUACAAUGGCUUUGCAAUCAGUGGAAAAUCUCGAAUAAACCUCCUAAAGUAUGAGCAUAGGCGGAUAAAACUUUGAACUUCAUGGACUUUUGUAGUGACAGUAUAACCUAAAUAAUCAACUGAAGACAGCAAAAAUUCACACUUAUCGAGUCAAUCAUAAUGUUAUCGAGGUAGAUCACCACUCUUCCUGUCCUCACCAUUUCUGCAAAUAUUUUGUUAAUAUAUCUUUGAAACGUUGACGGUGCAUUCAUUAAUCCAAAUGGCAUUCUAAGGUAUUCAAAUUGUCCUAGCGGGGUAGUGAAUGAUGUGUACUUUACCGAUUC